AGAGUUUGAUCCUGGCUCAGGACGAACGCUGGCGGUGCGCCUUAUGCAUGCAAGUCGAGCGAAGCUUUUCAGUAGUUUACUACAGAAAAUGACUGAGCGGCGAACGGGUGAGUAACGCGUGAGCAAUCUACCUUAGUUACUGGGAUAGCCCGAGGAAACUCGGAUUAAUACCGGAUAAUCUUAAUACGUCACAUGAAGUUUUAAGCAAAGGUCAGCCGAACUAAGAUGAGCUCGCGUUCUAUCAGCUUGUUGGUGGGGUAAAAGCCUACCAAGGCUACGACGGAUAGCUGGUCUGAGAGGACGAUCAGCCACACUGGGACUGAGACACGGCCCAGACUCCUACGGGAGGCUGCAGCAGGGAAUAUUGCGCAAUGAGCGAAAGCUUGACGCAGCGACACCGCGUGUGGGAUGAAGGUUCUAGGAUUGUAAACCACUUUCAGGAGGGAAGAAAUGACGGUACCUCCACAAAAAGUCCCGGCCAACUACGUGCCAGCAGCCGCGGUAAUACGUAGGGGGCGAGCGUUGUCCGGAUUUAUUGGGCGUAAAGAGCUCGUAGGCGGUUCNACAAGUCGGUCGGNAAAUUCAGGGCUCACCCUGAAAUGGCAACCAAACUGUUGGGACUAGAA
rnacentral:rRNA from 1 species